CUACGGGAGGCUGCAGUGGGGAAUAUUGCACAAUGGACGAAAGUCUGAUGCAGCAACGCCGCGUGGAGGAUGACACAUUUCGGUGCGUAAACUCCUUUUAUAUAGGAAGAUAAUGACGGUACUAUAUGAAUAAGCGCCGGCUAACUCCGUGCCAGCAGCCGCGGUAAUACGGAGGGCGCAAGCGUUACUCGGAAUCACUGGGCGUAAAGAGCAUGUAGGCGGAUAGAUAAGUCAGGAGUGAAAUCCUAUGGCUCAACCAUAGAACUGCUCUUGAAACUGUCUAUCUAGAAUAUGGGAGAGGUAGAUGGAAUUUCUGGUGUAGGGGUAAAAUCCGUAGAGAUCAGAAGGAAUACCGAUUGCGAAGGCGAUCUACUGGAACAUUAUUGACGCUGAGACGCGAAAGCGUGGGGAGCAAACAGGAUUAGAUACCCGGGUAGUC
rnacentral:rRNA from 1 species